rnacentral:lncRNA from 1 species
GAGAGGUUCUACCUCACAGCCGGUCUGGGAACGCCUCGUAGUCCCUGUGGAGGUGCUGGAGGAGGACUCAAGGAGAGGAAAGGAGGUCUGCAGAUGAAGGAAUGAACAUUACAGCGUUUUUAAACGGCUGCUGUCUGAAUUUUGACCACUAGAGGGUGGUGACAGCACUGUGACGACUUCAACAUGGCUCGCUCUGCUACGUCCAUCCCUGGAGCAGACAGCAGAGGACCGUUCGUCUCCAUCAGCACAGCAGACGGGAUCGUUAGAGGCUGGCAGAAUGAGAGGCGGCGCUCCGACUGGAUUCAGUCCUCCAUCCUCUUCAUCUCAGAGUCUGAUGGACAAACGCUCUGCUGGGAGGAGAUGUAACCGUCUCUAAACAAACAGUCGGGACAACAAACAACCAGAAUAAACACAAAUGCAGUCACGACGGGAGGUGGGGGAGAGGAUGAGCUAACCCAGUGGGAAGAAAUCUGACUGGAAUUUUCCUCCCAGUGGGAUUUUAUCCGAAUGUGAUGAUGCUCACAUUGUUCUGAGGCUUUUGGAGGAUGAUUUUGAUCGGGGGAACUCCAUGCCCCGAACCCCGAACCGUCCUGACUUCGUCCCAGAGCCAAAAGAAAAUGCUUCCGUUCGUCACUGGAGGAGGACACGGAGUUUGAUCUUCCCAGAUCCACCUGCUGAUCCUGAAAAUCAGUUUCAAGGCGAUUCUUUCGAGAUUUAGUCAAAUCAAAGACUUCACGAUUCACUCUUCAAACUACACACGUGCCUCCCACCCGCCCCCCCCACCUUCGGCCGUCCGACCAAUCAUGGGCAAGCCUCUCAGCCGCCCCGGGUGUUUCAGGAAGAGCUCAUGCUGCCUGGAGAAGCAUGGUGUUGGGGAUGGGGGGAUGGGAGGGCGUGAUCUUGUGAUGGAGGGGGGUUACGGAGACGGCUACGUACCCCAGAGGUCCAUUUAUGACACCAUGUGCAUCAACCAGCAGAUCGACAGCCACCACCACCUCCACCACCACCACUCUGGAGGAUCGGUGAGGAGAGAUGGAGGAGGCGACGGGAGCUUCAGCUACUCCACCAGUGGCUCCCUCAGGGUCAGCAGGUCAGACAUGUUUGACCCGCAGCCUCGAUCCUUGACUCCAAACCCGUCGUUCGUGCGGCGGCUGGAUGAGAGAGCCAUCUUUGACUCGCUCAAACUCGGAGGGGAGGAUGCAGACGGCUGCCAUUCACCAGGGCAUUUCAACCGAUCCGUGUCUCCGUCUGUGUCCUCCUUCUCAGCACCGGGAGUGUCCUCCUCCUCAUCUAAGAAGCACUACCAUCACCACCACCAUCACCAUGGCGACAGCACAAAGAGCAGAGACGGCCGGCAUUCCUGGAAAGCCUUGCCAUCUCCAAAACCGCUGGAGUGUCUGGAGCUGACCUCAGCUGAGAUGAUGGACCGAGGAGGCGGGGGCUACCUGAACCCAGGACACUACCCCGCUGGGGGCCAGUCCUCCUCUCUCACCUCCCCCCUCAUCUCACCCUUCUCCGGGUCACCCCUUUCCUCUGGGUACCAUACUCCAGUGUUCUUCUCCCCGACCAAACCCCGUCCCAGUCAGAGCCAGAGUUUACGCUGCUCCCCACCUCAUGUGAUCCAGCCCCGGCAUUACUCCCAAACCCAGAGCCUGAGGAUGUCUCCCCCCCACGAGCUCAGGCGGUCCCCCUACAGGGCCCCUCUGGUCCAACUGUCUGCUCACGACCUGGAGCAGGAUCUGAGAGAGCGAGGAGGAGGCGGGGGUGGAGGGUNNNNNNNNNNUGGAGGGUGGGGCCACAACGAGCGGGACCGGGACUGGGAGAGGGAGCGGGAACGGGAGCUGGAGCGAGGCUGGGCCCAGCGGGAGUGGGAGAGGGAGCGGGAGAGGGGGAGGCUGGAGAGGGAGCGAGCCAGAGAGAGAGAGAGGAGAGAGACAUCCUCCUUUGGGACCUUCGGCUAUGGCCGACCCGUUCCUCUGCGUUCAGACAGGGAUUCUGUGUUUUUGGAAUCGGACCAGGGACUGGACACAACACCCCUCCUCCUCCCCCAACCCUCCCCCUCCCCCAGCGGCGCCCCCAGAAUGGGCACAGGAGCAGUGGGCAGGAACCGGGCGGGGUCAAAGGUGGGUCCUGAAGGUGGAGUCAUGGUCUCUAAAUAUGAUGGAGGGAGCGUUAGCCUGGUGCUGGUGGACAGUAAGUCCGGGAGCAGUCCGAGGUUGGUGAGCGAAGUCGUCACCGGGAACAUGUCGGAGGCAGAAAUGAGAGCUGCCUUUCAGGAGAGAGCAGAAGUUUGGAGCAGGUCCGACAACGGGUCCAGGUCCAGUAAGAAGAACAUGUCUGAGAAGAGGAUGGGCUCUCAGGUGAAAACUCGGCCUGGAGGUCGGGAUCUGGAAGGAAAAGUCCAGUCUGGGUUGGAAAACAAGGAGGGACCCCGAGGAGAAACAAGGAGUGGAGAAAACCACGGAGGUUUUAUAGCAGAACGCAUCCCAGAAUCCUUCAACAGGACCGAACCGGAGAAGCGGGUCGGGUCUGUAGAUCAAGUUCUGGCUGAAGCUGCUGCUGGUCCUGAGAAGAAGGUGGAGCAGGAAGCUGGAGUUGAAGCUAACUCUCGCCAGCUGGAGACUGGAACAGACGUGGAGGUUAAGCAUCAUGCUGGUCCAACAGCUGAGCCCCAGUUAGAAGCAGAUGUCUGGAUUGCUGCUCCACCUGAGGUCCCACCAGAACCCCAGGUCUGUGGGGAGCUCGGACAGCAGAGUCAGGUGGAGGUCACGGUUGCUCCUGAAACUCAAACUCCUGAUGAAGCUCAGAUAGGACCUGGUGUAGGAGACAACCCUGAAGCUGUUCCUUCAGCUCAAACAGAGCACAAACCACAAGAUAAAGCUGAAACCCCCAAACCCGCUAAAGGUUCCAGAUCCAAGUCCAAGUCGUCCAAGUCCUGCUCCAGGUCCCGGCCUGGAACAGCGACGGGGAUGCGGCCCGGCGCUCUCAGCCCUCGACAGACCAAAGGCCUCGGAGACCUGGAGUCCUCCGGUCCACCUGAAAGCAUCGAGUCCACUUGGCCUCGAAGGAUCAUGGUGAGGAAGAGGACAGUCCGUCAGGGCGGGGCCCUCCAUAACCUCCCUAUUCUCCCCCCUCUCCCGUCGGUCCUCUCGGCGCUGGAGAAGCGGCGACCGCACCAACGCCCUGGCUCAGAGAACCCGUUGUCCAACAUAACUAACUCCAUGGUGGGUCGAUGCUCUCUGAAGGAACCGUCCCACACAGAACCGGGUCAGGGGGGUGGUCUGGUGGGCCGGGCUUCCCUGAGGGAGCAGAACCUGGAGCACUGGAGGGUCUGCAGAGAGCAGGAAGAAACAAAUCGAUCCAGAGGCAGAGAAAAACAAGAAGAGAUGAGCAAGAAGCAGGAGGAGAGGAAGGAGAUGCAGGAGGUGGUGGUGGUGGAGGACAUGAAACAAGAUGAAGCAGAGAGGCGGCUUGAAGAAAACGAUCAAGAAAAUACAAACAAAAUGAAAGAGGAGAAGAAGGAACCGGAGCCAGAAACAAGAUCUGGACAGGAGGAGGACAGAAGAACUAAUAUCCAAGAAGCAACAACAGAGAGACAGAGGUGGGAUGUGGAGGAGGUGGAGGCUAAACUACACCCAGAAGAUGUGGAGGUGGAAAUGGAGGGAGGAGAAGGGGGGGCACUGGGUGAGGGAAGGGGUGGGGAGGGUUGGGAUGAUGUUCUGGACAUGGUCAACACACUGUGGGAGGAUAACUGGGACAGACUUGAAGUAGGAGGUGAAGGAGGAGACGAUUCAGAAUCCCUGACAGGCUCUCUCCAUUGCUGGCCUCUCCUCCGGCCCCCGGUCGGGUUCGGUGGCUCCCACCCCCCCUCCUCCGCGGCCUCUGAGCUCAGCCUGACGGAGCUAGAGAGGAGGGCUCGGGAGCUGGACUCUGACCUGGAGCACCUGGAUCUGUCUCAGCCCCACAAGGAGUCUCAGGAUUUAUACCAAACCGUGCUGGAGCCACAGAGGGACCGGACCGACACGUACCAAACCCACCCGGGUCCACAGCGAGACAAAACCGCCCUGCACACAGGAGUCAGCAACAGAUCUCAGGUCAGUUUGGAGCUCAAUCCGAUGACCUCAUCAGUUUCCGACUCUGACCGGUCUCCUGUGGAUUGGUCGAUGAAAUCUUCUGGCACUUCCACCGCCGGCACCAGCUCCACUAAGGAGGACAGCUCUCCUGACUCCAACCUAACACUGGAGUCCGACUCCAGUGGUGUAUUCCUGUCUUUAUCCAAUCAGAGCCAGGAAGAUGGUGGAUCAGACAGCGACCAGCCUAUCAGCGGAUCAGAACUAGGCAGCAGCAACACAUCACUGGAGAAAGAUGGAGAUGAUGGAGGGCUGAAGGAAUGGGGAAGGGAGGAGAGUGCUGAGCUACAGUGGUGCUAUCCAUCGCUCCUCAACACCCCCUCAUAUGACAACACUGAAGGGGAUGGUGAAACGGGAUGUGGAAGGAUGGAGGGAGUUCAGGGAGGAAAUGGGAGGAAGGAUGGUGGGAUGGGGAUGGUUUCAUCCAGAAACGACACUAAAGGCUCCUUAAACGUUCCACAAAGAGAAGAGCUGCCCCCCAGGAGGAAAGUGACCCUGAUGGGAGUUGAGACCCCCCUUUCUCUGUCUCCUUCAAAGCCAAUCAAACACUUUCUGGAUCCCAAUCAGAAACCAAUCAGAAGCUCCGGAUUAGACUGUGGGGACCUGGAUCCGUUUGUCCAAUCGGACAGCUUCGUUUAUCUUGCUGUAACUGCAAGACCAGGAUCCGCGGCCGGGAAAGACAUUCCUACCCAUGAUGCAAAGCAAGAAAAUGUCCAACAGGCAGACAGCAUGACAGCACGUGUUGACCAGCCAAAUAUAGAACAACACGCCAAGAUGGCGCACCUAGCCCCACACAAGCCAGAAGAGGGGGACUUCCUGUGCACCGACAGCUUCGUCUACCUGGCCGCUCCAGCCUGCCUCCUGCUGGACCCGACAGGAACCGCGCCCUACAGUGGCAAGGAGUCGGAUUCUGAGAGUUCGGACUCUGGCCCGGUGGACGUCUCUGUUCUGGGCUGUGGCUCUGUGGCAGGGGACAGCGACUGGGACUCGGACUUGUCUGACUCUGAUCCCAGUCGCUCCUCCAGAAUCCCUGCCGCUGGAAAGUCAGCCGGCAUAGCGCGGCCAAAGCGACUUCCCGUUGAACCCGACUGGGAUGUGUUCGGAGAAGCUGUAGAACCCGAAGAUCUGAGUGAAGAACAGGAUCAACCUGAAGAGGUUACAGGGGUCAUCACCAGCAUGGCAUUAUCACCGACCGUUUCCAUGGAAACCCAUCCCGUCGCUGCAGCAAUGAAGCCGGCGACGUCGACCGAGCAGCUGUCAAUGACCAAGAAGGUGACGUGGCAGUUUAAACCGGCCCAGAGGUCCGUUUGCACCGGAAGCAGGAAGGAAAAGGAGAAGGAACUGGCAAGAUUCUCAGAGAGCGAAGGCGAUGCCUACAGAGCCUCCCCUUCAUCAUCGUCUUCAUCGUCACCUUCAUCAUCGUCGUCAGGUUGAACUCAGGAAGUGAAGCAGAAAGGUAAAGAACUUCAGUCUGAACUUUUCUUCUCUGUGACGUUUGCAUCCAGCUGCCGCCUCCAGCCUCGUCAAAGCUGCAGAAAGUUGUUGCUUUUCCUCCAAACGGCCGACACGCGAUCCUAUUUAACCGCUUCCCGUCUCAUUAUCAGUAGUUUUAUUUCCAUCUGUCUCUAGAUAAUAAAUAUAAAGUUUUACUCUGACCUGGAGCGGGUAUGAAGUUUAGUUGUUUUUGAUGCGUUUAUGAUCACAUGAAUGACACAGCUGGACGAGUGUGUUUUGUAAUCAUAUCCGGUGUUUAAUGAGAUAUUUUGACCUCUGAGGUAGAAAUCUACGUGGUGAACCAGGACCCGGUAAGGGAAGGGUUAAAUAAAUGUUUUAUUUAUCAUUUAGAAUGAAAUUGUGAAUGUAAUAAUUAAGCAAUACGCUUACAGAUUAAUUCUAUAUUCUAUGUUUCAUUUGUAAAAAGUGCUUCUGUGUGAAAUAACGGCUGUUUAGUUUUCCUCAUGCAGCCUGUUGCUGAUUGUAGAAACGGUUUUAUGCACAUUUAAGGUUUUACUGGAACGUUUUUAAGCUUGAAAUGCUGAGAUGACCUCCAACUUCAGCCUCUGAGCAGACGUGAAGGACGAUAAUUGUUGCUUCUGGUUUUGGCAAGAAAACGCAGUUAAAUGUCCGUCUGGAGGCGCCGAUGCAAAGACACGUUUGCUUUUGCUGAAAGAUUCUGAAAUAAUCAUCAGAAUAAAAAGUAAAUGAGGUUUGAAGAGCGUUAACCCUUCAGCUGAUCGCUGGUGGAGCAUAUUUUAGUCCUUCUGUCUAACAGAAACUUGAAUGUGACACAAAGAACUAAGAGUUAACCCCCAAGACGCCUCUUCUGAAGCUGGAGGAGCCGCCGGUCAUCUCAGCAGCGGUCGGGUUGUCGAACCGUUAGAAUGAUGAAUGUGGCUGAACGGAUGUUAGUGAUGGUUCCUGGAGCUCCUUCAGAGCCAGAAGAGAUGAAGGCUUGGACCGGUUUCGUUCAGUCAGACGGGAAACCAAACGGGUCGGUGAGAAGAAAGUUCAGCCUUCUGCAGCCUUAACUGCCAACAUGAACACUGAAACGCUUUUAUGCUGUGUGGUGAUGAUGGUGCACCAACGGCGUUUGGUGCAGCCCUGAAUGCAGCUGCGGGAGUGGUGACGGACUCCUCUCCGGUGCUUUAAGCCCACAAGCACGUUUCACCGAGGACAGGAGUGCUUCACUAGCAGUUCUUUGUGUUUAAAGCUGCAGCUGCUUGUUUUCGACUGUCUGAAUGUUUUAGAGAGCAGAACCAGAACCGAAAGGAUGGGUCGGAUGCAUCACAACGAUCUGAGAAAACCCUGGUUUUAAAGCACAACCGUGAAUUUAAAUCAGAUUUAUUUUGUAGUCAGGUGAAACUUGAACAGCUUCCAUGUGAAUGAGAACAUCUGAACUCUCUGGAGCCCCUUCUGUCACCAGAAACGACGUUAGAGCUUCCAAGUCAGCGAGUCCACCUUAAAUCACCCUGCUGCGCUCCUCUGUGAGAUCGGAUCUGGUGUUCUGGAGCAGACAGACGUGUGACACAUGGUCAGCUGUAGCAGUUCGGACUCCGGUCUGAACCGGCUGAGACGCUCGAGCUGUUGCUGCUGGAGGUUUGGUCAUCGUGAUCAGAGCUGGAGACACGACCAAGCCCAGCGGGGUCAAAGGGGUUGGGUUAAAACCCAAACGGGUCAGCGGCGGGAGGAGAGAAUGUUCCACCGGAUCAGAACCAAAACCACUCCACAAACAAUUCCAACUGUAGUUUCACAUUAAAAGCACUGAAAUCUGGACUUUCUGUUAUUUCUAACAGCGGUUUAGAUGACAUCAUAAUAUCCAUAAACACAUCAUCACAUCUAGAUCUAAAAGGGUUUUUGUCUGCUAAACAUUUUGUAGGAAACACAUUAUGACAUUUUUUAGUUCUCUGGUCUCACAAAGUGAUUUCAAACAGUUUUAUUCUAGACAGUUUCAGUCCCUUCCAGAAUGAGCCGUUUCAAGGCUCUGUCACUUUAAGACAAGUUGCUGCUGGCCACACCCACCCAUCCCUGAUUGGCUUCUAUCAGAGGAGAGGUUUCAGUAUCCAGGAGGGGCUUGAAGUAGAGCCGCUGCACCUCCUGCAGGUGGUGUGUGCGGGUCUGUGACUUAGUGGUACAUUUUUUAAACUUUCUUUGUUUAAAUCUAAAUUAAUCUGAUCCAGGUUUAGGAAAUCUCACCAUUCCGUCUGGAUCCUUCACAAAUUCCUGAGUCUGGAACCAGAAGAUCCCAGAGGAACCGUGCGAUCACCAGAUGGUGGAAAUAAACCCGAUGGUUGCAGGAGCUUGGGUCCAUCUUUGCAUUAUGGGAUGUCACCUGAGCGGUCCAAACUCAGAGAGAGGAGGUUCUGUCCUCCUCCGAGCCUGAGCUCUACCAUCGAGCCUGUGACGAGUUCCUGCCAGCUCUGAUCACAUGACCAGGUCCCGUUGUGUUUCUGUGAAACUGGCUGCUCCUCUAAAACCACCCGGACAGAUCCGGUCCACUUCCUGACACUGUGUUCUGUUCAGGUCCGGUUCUGGACGGGUCUGGGUUAGUCCCGUUUCACUGUGAUCUCCUUCAGACCCGACUCCUCCUGCAUCCGCUGUUUCCGCUCCUCCAGAGUUCAGAGCUGCGGCUGGUGUUUAGGGAAGCGAUGCUUUGAGAGGGAAUCUUUUUGUGUGCCAUGUUUUCCAAAACUUUGCUGGAAAUCGUUCAUGUUCUAAUAAAAGCUCGGCUUGAUGGUGAACCCGGCUCGUUUCUUCUGUGUGAACGGUUCUGAAGCUCCUUUAUUCCCAACAGGUUUCAUUUCUUUACUCGUCUUCAGGGGUUUCCGUCUGAAACCGAUUCAGUUGAACCCAGAUCCAGUUCUCCUACUUCCCAACGUUCCCGCUACACCUCCAGAACCUGACAGUGUUCUGACUCUGAGGAACCAGAUGAUGGAGACGUUCAGGUCCUUUUUGUCUUGUUUUUCUGAAGGUAUUCAGCAGAACCGGGUCAUCCUGGUCACAUGUUUGUGUUUCUAAAUCCUCCAACAUCCUCUAUUAGGAAUGGGCCAGAACCACAGCAGGCUGGUCCAGAACCUGUCUUCUCUGAGCAGAAUCUGGUUUUUGGAAGUCCCUGAAGGCAGCUGAACCCUGACUCUAGACUCAGAACCAGGAGUUUGGACCCACCGUUGGCGUUACUCGUUUUUCUCCUUGUUUCUGGACCGAAGGAGUCCAGAACACUGAUCCGUCUGACCAGAACCCUCUGAGGUUCUACUCCUGCCCAGAUGGAGCCAAGAGGAGUUGGUAUGAAAGGAAGAAUUUCUUUUUUGUUUUAUUUAACUUAUUUUAUAAUUUAUGGAACCGUUUUCUUCCGUUUGUUCUCAGAUGAGAUCCUUUUGGAUCAGAUCAGAGUUUCGAUUGUGAAUCACUCAUUUAUUAUUAUUUAUUUAGAGAUGAUGUCGUGUUCCAGCUGAAGACGGCUGAAACUCUAAAUCUACGGGUGUUUAAAUGUGUGAAUGAAGUUUUUAGUCUGGAUUCUGUUUUAACGUGCCGCUGUUUAACCUCCAUGUUUACAGAACGUAACUCGACGGACAACAGCUGGAAUUCAUCAGGUACGGAAACAGAAACUCAACAUUACGGUUUAAUGAAGUUGGAUUUGAUUACUGAGUUUGAAAUAAUUCUUUAAGAAUCCAAAAUGACCCGUGCCCCUCUAAUCCUUCUAGUUUGUUCACAUUUAAUUUCACAUUAUGUGCCUGAAAUUCACAAAUCUUUCUUCAAACAACACAUUUCUACAAAGUUUCCUCGAAUCAUUCAUUCAUAACGGAUGUGAUUUAUAUCUGUGAUGGGAGAGAGAGCAGAGGAGGAGAGUAGAAAAACGUAAGGGGCCAGAUCUAACCAUCAACACACACACACACACACACACACACACACACACACACACACACAGCAGUGCCAUCUGCGUGUUAAAUAGUACAUGGUGCAGUAAUGUAGGUCUGUCUAUUUCAGGCUGAUUAAUUAGAUCGCCCUGAAUCAGGUCAGAGAACGAGAGGGGCGGCCAUGAUGAAAAUCUUCAUCUAUGUGCCAGUUCCUCAUCAGCCGCAGGGACAGAACAGAUCAUGUGACCUGGUUCUAGUUCUGGUAGAUCCGGAAUCAGGAGAAGGCUUCAACUGAUUUACAAUUUACAGAAUUGAGAUGAUGAUGAUGAUGAUAGUGAUGGUGAUGAUUAUGAUGAUUAUGGUGUUGAUGAAGAUGGUGAUGGUGAUGAUGAUAAUAAUGGCGAUGAUGGUGAUGACGAUAGUGAUGAUGAUGCUGAAAAUGGUAAUGAUGGCGAUGGUGCUGAUGCUGAAGGUGAUGAUGAUGAGGCUGAUGAUGAUGAUGAUGAUGAUGAUGGUGAUGAUGCUGAUGGUGAUGGUGAUGUGACGAUGGUGAUGGUG